UACGUAGGGGGCAAGCGUUGUCCGGAAUUAUUGGGCGUAAAGCGCUCGCAGGCGGCUCGAUGCGUCGUGCGUGAAACACCCCGGCUCAACUGGGGAGGGUCGUGCGAUACGGGCAGACUGGAGUACUGCAGGGGAGACUGGAAUUCCUGGUGUAGCGGUGGAAUGCGCAGAUAUCAGGAGGAACACCGGUGGCGAAGGCAAUCCCCUGGACCUGUACUGACGCUCAUGCACGAAAGCGUGGGGAGCAAACAGG
rnacentral:rRNA from 1 species